GAGCCACCGAGUGAGAGCAUGACUAUGCGAUUGUGUAGGUGGAAAAGGAGAGCGAAAUGAGUCACUGCAAGCCAAAAAUACAAAAUUCUCCUUCUCCCUACUCUUGUAUUCGAACUAAACCAGCGUCACUUGCCUCCGCAACUGUUUCGUUAUAAUUUGCGACGUUAGUUCGCGCGUGUGCCUCUUUUUUUCUCCCGCCUCGACCUCCCUUUUAACGCGACAUCAAGGAAGAAACGAGAAGACAACUCAUGUGCGAAAAAGAGAAAGCGAUUCUGCCGGGGGUGGCGAAGGAGUACAUGCAAAAAGACAUCGAGUAACAGCAGCAGCAGCAGCAAGAAAAGAGAAAGCUACGUUGACAAUGACAGAUUAAAGACCAAUAAUUAAUAAAAAUGAAAAUGAACGACCGAAAAUCAAUUUAGAAAAAGAAAAUAGAAGAUCCGCGUGAAAGAUUUCAACAGCGCUAUUCUGACAGUUAUUCCCGUGUCAUCCGGCCAGCGAAACUUCGGCUGCAACGCAAGUCAAGUCAACGAUUUUUAUAGCGGCUGCUUUUAGCCCCAAACUCCCAGACUUUUAUUAAGAGGACUAUAAGUAACAGGCGAAAUAGGUCGGCCAAAUGACAAGCCGAACAGGGGAAGCGGCUGUUAAAUACGAGCAAGAAAAAUGGGAUGUGAAUAACGAAAAGAAAAGGAAGGAAGGGAAGAAAAUGGGAGAACGACAGAUGAAACGAGAAAGAGUAUGCGGAAAAGAAAUACGUAAAAGUCCAAGGAAUUAGAAAGUGCAAGAAAAAGAGUCCAAAUGAUGGAGACAUGGGUUCAGAAAGUCAAAAGAGCCGUGUCAAGCGCAUAUAAUUAGAACGCGAAGACAUAACCAAGAAAAUAAAAUAGAAGCACGUAACGCAAAGAUGCGAAGCUGUGCAAAGGGCAAGAAGUGCAAGAUAGUAAUGAAAAAAGUCAAAGCAAAUUAUUCAUUGAAACAUAGAAUACAGUAAAAAGGAAUUCUCCGCGUGAGAAUCAGAGACGCAGGGCAAUUAUAGAAAUCGUUCCUUCUGGGAGAUCAUCAACUUCUCUUCUCGCACUAAAAGGCUAUUUUUAAGUUGAGAAAAAUAGCCUGACUUCAAUUUAAAACUCGAAAUACCUCUGCUAGGAAUUACCAAUGAAAGAUCGGGGAUUAUUUAAAUUGACAGCUACUCUGGUUAAGUGCUGGCAGCGCACGCGUGCUGCUACUGAUUGGAAGAGAAAGAGGCAAUGAACUAUCAAGUAGUCGCUUGAUGCCGCUUGAUGUCGACGAACGACGAACGGACAAAAUUCUUGAGGAUCAGAAAGCCAAAAGAAAACGAGUAGAGAGUCGACAGAGCCGAAAUUCUCUCCGCUUUAUUUCGAUUUGUCGUAUAUCCGCCUCCCUAAGACCCGCGGCGCGUUCAUGUGUGUGGUCCUGUGCGCGCUCGCGUGUCGACCCGACAGCAACCUUUUUUACCGACCUCCACGAGGACUCGAACGCCCACUCUCUUCUCUUCAUGAGCUUUUUAGCGGCGAAUUCCAAAAUCCUUUGGUGCAAUAGUCGCUCCCUGGUAACCGAUGGCACUUAUGCAAUCGUUGUGGCUUCUGUUGGAACACCAAUGUGGAGUAAUGUACGGGAAGGGAAGAAGGCAAUCGGCUCAAAGGCUCCGAAAAUGGGCGGCACGACUUUCUAAAUUUCACGCUAAAUAAGACUUCUCUGCAUGAA